AUGUGGACGGCAGGCUGCACGGACGAGGUGUGUGAGGGAAGCACCAACCCCGACAGGAGCUUUGUCAUUGGCUGGCCCACCUCCAACUGUGUUGCAACGUUUAGCUCCACAGAACAGAAAGAGAGAUGGCUCUCCACCCUCAGAAGUCGGAUAAAAGAAGAGAAAGAGAAGGAGGAGCCUAAGACCAUCCCUCUGAGAGUGUAUGGGAAGGGAAUCAACACUUUUGCUGUUACCAAGACGCUUCCUGUCAGCAACUCAGACUCGACCAAUGAGGUGAUCCGACUGGCUCUGCGGCAGUUCGGCAUCAUAAGAGAGGACUUGAGGCCUCGUGACGCCGAUAGGAAACGUCCAGUGGAGCGUGUGGAGAACACGGUGAGGACGGGAGCCGCAGGGAGAGAUCCGCAUAGACGGCGUCCUGACGUCAGAGAUCGGCCUCCACGACCUGCGUCAGAGGAUGUCCGUCAUUCCCCAGGAGUCCUUGUAAGAUGGUGGUGCUGAUACCGGAGCCGCCCAGUUAAGUGUUACCUGAUGUCAGAAGAAGAAGAAGCAUGAGUAUUUGAGAUCAACAACCAAAGUCUACAGUCCUUGGCUUGUGUGAAACGUCCAGCUGCUCAUCAACUGUGAGAUGGGGGAAGAGAAGUUUUGAUGUAUGAAUACAGAGGGUCCAAUUGGAGAUGUCUUACUUCGAAGGACUAUUUGGAGGAUCCAAUUAGGAGCGUCAACGAGGCGCAGCCCUGUGCAAUUAGGAGUGUCACCGAGGCACCGCCCAGUGAGGAGAUGCGAUUGGCUGUUCACAGGUGUGAGCAAUCAGCAGUGUGCUACUUGAGCAGCAGUGCCGCAAACACCGAAGGCACGGGUGAAGAUCUGCAGGGGCUGCUAGCUAACUCCUUUGUGUGCAAACACCGAAGACACGGGUGAAGGCUAACUUCUUUCUCCGCAAACGAUGGCUUGGACAGCAAAAACUGAAGGCAUGGGUGAAGACCUGCCCUGCUCCUUUCCUCAAACACCGAAGACAUGGGUGAAGGCCAACUUCUUUCUCCGCAGGCGGCAGCCAUUGCACUCAUUGUCUCUGCUGUGUGCUUCAUGGCUCACAGCUGUGUAGGAUGAAGCAAAGACUGAAGGGUGCUCUCUGCAAACACUCUGGAGCUGUGGUGUCACCAACAAUGAAAGGUAAGUGUUGAAAAGCUGUAGGUAACACUAUCACAAGCAUUUACCUUCUGCCUUUUCCUCCACCAGCACCAAGAGCCCCUUGCUGAUGACACCAAGCCCAUUCCUGCUCACAAACCAUGGGGGAAAGAGAAGAACCAACCAACCAACUGCUAAUUGUGGUAUGGAGAUGUGUUACUAAGUCAAAAACAGCAACACUGCUAGAUGCAACAACAGAGUAUCUGACAUGUACUUAAACGUAAG